UCCCCCAUCUUAAAGCUGUAAGGGGGAGAGGUUCCUACAGUAGGGAAGGGGGCGCUCCAGGCAGUUGUCAACACCCAGGGUUGACAGCCUGUAUCUCAUACCAGGUUCGACCUGGCGUUAAACAAACGGCUGGGUUGGUUCCCUGAAUAAAGUGUAGCACUCUGAAGGAGAAUCAGAAGGGUGACUGCACCGUGAGCUCAGUGUGGGGUGUAGACGACCCAGCUGAAAUGACUAGGGUCUUCAUCUGCCUCCCAACGUCCACCCAAUGCAGAUGAUAGGGGUUAAAAAACCACUCUGGGAAUACCACUGGCCUCCCUUGGAACAAGUGGGUCACUGGGGAAUCCUGGGGGUAGAAUAACACUAGCCAAAGGGGAAGCCCCCCCGGGGGUAUAAUGGCCUAGCUAAGACUCUACCAACUGGGAUACACCAGUGCCUGAGCAUGAGGUGGGCCCUCCAGAGAAUGUUGGGGUCUAGACAUGCCCAGGGUAGGGCAUGGCUCACUCCCCAACCCCUCAAAAUUCUACCUGCGUAGCCUAUGGGCAGGAUGGUCCCUGGGUUUGAUUGCGGGUUUCCCUUCCUGGAAAGCCUUUCUGAUGGAUGAGAUUUCAUAAUCUGGAGAUUAUGAAAAGACAAGCAGACUGUGACAAAGAUCUCGGGGUAGAGGGACACAGUAAGAAGCAGGCUGGCGCUGACAACAACUCUUGUGCCCCGCUCCCCUGCAGGAUGCUGGUGGACUGUGUACCCUUGGUGGAGGUGGAGGACAUGAUGAUCAUGGGCAAAAAGCCAGACCCUAAGUGCGUCUUCACCUACGUGCAAUCGCUGUACAACCACCUGCGGCGCCAUGAGCUGCGCCUGCGCGGCAAGAAUGUCUAGCCACUGCUCACACCGCCUGCGCUGCAGGCUGCUGUCCCCACGCCCCCAGCACCGGCCCCUCCCAGUGCGCCUGCCCACUGCUGCCCCGUCUGUCGAAACACCUCUCCCCCUUGUACACACGCAGCGUUUUGAUAAAUUAUUGGUUUUCAACG
rnacentral:lncRNA from 1 species